UCCCACCUUCUCCUUCCCUCGCCGCCGCUAGGUAAGUUAGCCUCGCACCCCACUGUCGUCAUGUCCGCCAUGCUCUGGCCGAGCUCGCGCUCGUGCUCGGGGUGACUUCUCUGCCCCACCUCCGCUCCUCUGGUGUUGUGGGAAGGGAUUCCCCGGAGCGCCUCUUCUUCCUCGACGUCUAGCGCGACGCCAACGCCCCCGGAGCUCGCCUCUCCGUCGCCAUCUUCUCCUCAACGUUUGGAUCCGAGGCGCACCAGACUUCCGUCGGUCCCUACAUCGUCUCUGUCUCGUCCCCAACCUCUUCUUCUUGUGCUAGGUACACGAGGUAGUCCCCUCCCGCUCUCCGUCGCUUCCCAUCGCCUAUAGAUCUGUGUAGUAGCCACGAGGGUCAUGCAAAGAUCGCGCCUUUCGUGCUCCAGCCAUGGUUGUAGUGUAGGAGUGUUCUGUUCUUGCUCUUUUGUUCAUGCUUCCAGUGCCCCUUUGUAGUUAGCGCAUGCACGCACCUCCCCCGCUGCAGCUCACACGCACACGCCCGCGCACGAGCACAACCGCCUGAGGCUCCUCCUUGCUCCACCGCGUUUGUCCCCGAGACGAGAUCGAGCUCCUACUCGAGCAUAUGGUCGCGCAUGAUCGAGCGAGCAGCAGUCGUGCGACUUGGUAGGAUCCCGCAACCCCCGUCGGGGCUCAGCUUGCCUCAUCAUCGCGACGUCGCUCGCCGGAGUCCCCCUCCAGUGUCGGCGUCCCUCUCAGAUGCAGUUGACUUAGAAGGGGCGGAGCCCCUCUCCUAGCAAGACCCAUCCCAUCUAGCCUAGUGGUCGCACCCUCUCUCUCCUUCCGGGGAGACCCGGGUCAAUCCCCGCGGGUGCCCUUUAAAUCCCCC
rnacentral:lncRNA from 1 species